rnacentral:rRNA from 1 species
UGGGGAAUUUUGGACAAUGGGGGAAACCCUGAUCCAGCCAUCUCGCGUGUGCGAUGAAGGCCUUCGGGUUGGAAAGCACUUUUGGCAGGAAAGAAACGUCAUGGGUUAAUACCCCGUGAAACUGACGGUACCUGCAGAAUAAGCACCGGCUAACUACGUGCCAGCAGCCGCGGUAAUACGUAGGGUGCAAGCGUUAAUCGGAAUUACUGGGCGUAAAGCGUGCGCAGGCGGUUCGGAAAGAAAGAUGUGAAAUCCCAGAGCUCAACUUUGGAACUGCAUUUUUAACUACCGGGCUAGAGUGUGUCAGAGGGCGGUUGAAUUCCGCGUGUAGCAGUGACAUGCGUAGAUAUGCGGAGCAACACCGAUGGCGAAGGCAGCCUCCUGGGAUAACACUGACGCUCAUGCACGAAAGCGUGGGGAGCAAACAGG